CCACUUCUGGAGUUCAGGAUCAAGGCUAUCUCAUGUCGCCGAUCCAGCCUGCAACCGUCCUCCAAAACUGUCCUCGGGGUGUCUGGAUCACUCUACUCCUCUCCAGCAGAUGCGGGGCUCUCUGCAUCCUUCUAUUCCUGUUUCACGGUGCAGUCUGGCAGCAGAGGGAGGAAACAGACGAGGGAAGACCUAGAGACACCCUAGGAAGACGGCUUGCAGUGCUAACUCACAGAACAGAAUUCUGGGAUGGGGAGACGGGAAGAGGUUCUGGAUACCGACUUCGAAGAUCUGGUGUCUGAAGCUCAGUGUUAAAGGGAAAAUUUGGACGCAAACAUCCAAGUACAGAGAAGAGAAUGGGAUGACACAGGGAGAGAAGACUGACAUCUACCAGCCAGGGCGGGAGGAUGCAACAGCCCCUCCCCCACAGCACUCAGAAGGAACCAGCCCUGCCCACACCUGAAUCUCAGACUCCCAGCCUCCAGAACAGUGAGAGAAUGUACGUUUGUCGUGACAGCCUGAAAGCUGCCUGGUUUGUCUUACUUUGUUACAGCUUCCCUGUAGGCAGAUCCACACAGUAUUUUUGAAGAAGAGGGAAUUCAGAUUUGACAGUCACUUUCCUGAUACUUCUGCUGCCCCUUUCCCCAAAGCAAGACGCGUCCAUGUCGGGAGGCUUCAAAGAAGAAUGGGUUCUUUCACACAGAUUAGAACCUUGAGCUUUCUUAGCCUCUGGCAUUUCCUGGUCAAGGUGACUGUUCAUUUUGGAAAACAUGGUGGAAAGACUUCAAGAGAAGAAUGAUUUACAAAUCUUGAAGAUGGGUGUCAGUUAGCUUAAUAAAACUGAUGCAUUAAAGAGAGAAAAAUAAACGGGAGCAAACCGAGGCAACUACUUAGGAAAUUAAGGGUGGGAAAGGCUUCUUCAAAGACAGUGUCUAGGGAUCCCUGGGUGGCGC